ensembl:snRNA U6 U6 spliceosomal RNA
GUGCUUGCUCCUGUAGCACAUAUACUGAAAUUGGAAUGAUACAGACAUUAGAAUGGCCCCUGAGCAAGGAUGACACACAAAUUUGUGAAAUGUUCCACAUUUUU